ACAACAUUCGGACCGUCGGUCUUCCGAGCAAAUAUCACCCGCUCGGUGGAAGAUCUUCCCUUUGUGGU
rnacentral:pre_miRNA from 1 species